CAGUGCCAGGCCUCGACGUCACCCGAACACACGAAAGGCGGCGACGUUUACGCGUGGUGUUGACACACUUUUGUGAACUCCGUAACACCUUGACGGUCGCGGCGCGGCCUGAUCGAUCCGUUCGCGGCCCAUUGUGGAAACUUGGUCGACGGGAUUUUACGGGUUUUAUCAGUGGGAAAUUUCGUCCUCGCGUCGACCGAGUUAAACGCUGCGGUGUACGCGACAUGGGAGACUGCUCGAUUGUCAGAAUUUCCAGCACGAGGACUCGAUACUUUUGAGUUAAAUGUGACCAGUCUACGCCUGGGAAAACGAUGUUGGAGAUGGGGGAUGUGAGUACUUCCUUGAACAACGUGUGAAUGAACAUAAUUAUGAAUGCUGAAGUUAUAAAAUCGUGAAAAGAUCUUCAAAUAUUCUACGUUCUGUCGCGACUACUUAACGAAGAACUUGUCAUGCAUGGCUAAAUCAUAAAAUCAUGAUGAAUUAUUGAAUCAUUCUACAUUCUUCUACUAGUGAAAUGAAAAACGUGUAACACAAGCUGAAAUUAUUAAAUCGCGGUGUAUUUUUGAAACAUUCUACAUUCUUUUCCUAGUAAAAUGAAUG